AUGGACCGGGGAGAGUCGGAUACUUUGAGAGUAGUGUCUUAAGGGGGUGGUAUGUCCCAUCCAAGGCUAAAUAACGUGAGGAGACCGAUAGAUUACAAGUAGUGUGAACGAAAGAUGAAAAGAACUCUAAAACAGAGGGUGAAAAGUUCCUGAACUUGCUUAGGGUUAAGGCUAUUUAUAGUACCCGUCUUGAAACACGGAUUAGGGAGUUUAUCUGUAGUGCGAGUCUUUGCACGUUAACUGUAAAGGCGUAGAGAAAGCAACUGGCGUUUGCAUGGCUACUGAGCAUUACUGAUAGGACCCGAAAGGUGGUGAACUUUGCCUGCACAGGUUGAAGUCAGGGGAAACUCUGAUGGAGGACCGUACGGGUUAUUGAUGUGCAAAUCAUUUUUCUGAUGUAGGUAAAGGUGCGAAAGACUCAUCGAACCACCUAAUAGCUGGUUUCCUCCGAAGUUUCCCUCAGGAUAGCUGUAAUGCAUUUAGUUAAGGGGAGUAGAGAUAUGGGUAGAGGUGCAGGGAGCCUUCGGGUUCUCAACUUAUUUCCAAACUUCGAACCUCCUUGUUAGGCAUUUACCUAACUGGAAAUGCUUAAAUGAAUUAGCGUUACAAGUGGGCUCUGACCGGUAAGCGGUCAUGGCGAAAUGGGAUGAACCAUACGUCUGAAUAAGGUGCCGAAAUGUACUAUCACUGAUACCAUAAAGGGAGUCCAUGUAUUUAGACAGCAGGUCGGUGCCCCUAAAAGCAGGUAUCCGCUAAAGAGUGUGUUAAAACUCACCUGCCGAAUACUAGGGCCCCGAAAAUGAAUGGCGCAUAUAGUACUACCGAUCUCAGACAUCAGUUCUAUUGAACUGAGAGUAGGGGGAUGUGGACAUUUUUGUGAAGGUGCAAUGUGAGUUGGACUGGAAGAAUGUCUAUUACAGAUCCUAAUUGAAGUAGCGAUUAUCCAGGCUUGUAUCCUGGGGGCUGAUGAGGAGUAGGGUUCUGGACAACUUAAACAGAUCCAGAGUUAGUCGAUCCUCAUCUCAAUAAUGGGAGAAA
rnacentral:ncRNA from 2 species